rnacentral:rRNA from 1 species
GGAAGUAAAAGUCGUAACAAGGUCUCCGUUGGUGAACCAGCGGAGGGAUCAUUAUAGAGUUAUCAAAAACUCCCAAACCCAUGUGAACUUACCUAUCGUUGCCUCGGCAGGCUGUCGUCCCGGCAGUGGUCCCGCGGGUGUGCCCUACGGCGCCCCGCUAACCACCCCCCCGGGCGGCGCCUAAAGGCCUGCCGGCGGCCCCACGAAACUCUUUGUUAUACAACUGUAAUUCUGAAUCAAUAACUAAAUAAGUUAAAACUUUCAACAACGGAUCUCUUGGUUCUGGCAUCGAUGAAGAACGCAGCGAAAUGCGAUAAGUAAUGUGAAUUGCAGAAUUCAGUGAAUCAUCGAAUCUUUGAACGCACAUUGCGCCCAUUAGUAUUCUAGUGGGCAUGCCUGUUCGAGCGUCAUUUCAACCCUUAAGCCCCCGUUGCUUAGCGUUGGGAGCCUGCCGGGGGGAGAGUCUCUCCCCUCCCCGCAGCUCCCCAAAGACAGUGGCAGAGUCGGUACCGUACUCUAGGCGUAGUAAAUCUUUUCUCGCCUCUGCAGUCGGUCUGGCACUCGCCGUAAAACACCCCAAUUUAUCAAAGGUUGACCUCGGAUCAGGUAGGAAUACCCGCUGAACUUAAGCAUAU